rnacentral:rRNA from 1 species
CUAACACAUGCAAGUCGAGGGGUAACAGAGAGAGCUUGCUCUUUGCUGACGACCGGCGCACGGGUGCGUAACGCGUAUACAAUCUGCCUAUCACUGAGGGAUAGCCCGAAGAAAUUUGGAUUAAUACCUCAUAGUAUUAUAGAAUCGCAUGGUUUUAUAAUUAAAGGUUACGGUGAUAGAUGAGUAUGCGUCCUAUUAGCUAGAUGGAGAGGUAAAGGCUCCCCAUGGCUACNAUAGGUAGGGGUCCUNAGAGGGAGAUCCCCCACACUNNUACUNAUACACCGACCACACUCCUACU